UGGGGAAUAUUGCACAAUGGGCGGAAGCCUGAUGCAGCGACGCCGCGUGAGGGAUGACGGCCUUCGGGUUGUAAACCUCUUUCAGCACCGACGAAGUGGCUGGGUUUUCCUGGUUGUGACGGUAGGUGCAGAAGAAGCGCCGGCCAACUACGUGCCAGCAGCCGCGGUAAGACGUAGGGCGCGAGCGUUGUCCGGAUUUAUUGGGCGUAAAGAGCUCGUAGGCGGCUUGUCGCGUCGACUGUGAAAUCUCGUGGCUCAACUGCGGGCUUGCAGUCGAUACGGGCAGGCUAGAGUUCGGUAGGGGAGACUGGAAUUCCUGGUGUAGCGGUGAAAUGCGCAGAUAUCAGGAGGAACACCGGUGGCGAAGGCGGGUCUCUGGGCCGAUACUGACGCUGAGGAGCGAAAGCGUGGGGAGCGAACAGGAUUAGAUACCCCUGUAGUCC
rnacentral:rRNA from 1 species